UAGAGCGGCGAACGGGUGAGUACACGUAGGUAACCUGCCGUGCGAUUGGGGAUAGCCUGUGGAAACACAGGGUAAUACCGAAUACGACCUUCGGGGGAAAGGUGCUUCGGCACCGUCGUACGAUGAGCCUGCGGCGCAUUAGUUAGUUGGCGGGGUAAUGGCCCACCAAGGCGACGAUGCGUAGCCGACCUGAGAGGGUGAUCGGCCACACUGGGACUGAGAUACGGCCCAGACUCCUACGGGAGGCAGCAGCUAAGAAUCUUCCGCAAUGGACGAAAGUCUGACGGAGCGACGCCGCGUGGGCGAGGAAGGCCGAAAGGUUGUAAAGCCCUUUUCUGCGUGAGGAAUAAGAAUCGGAGGCAAUGCCGGUUUGAUGACGGUAGCGCAGGAAUAAGCCCCGGCCAAUUACGUGCCAGCAGCCGCGGUAACACGUAUGGGGCGAGCGUUGUUCGGAAUUAUUGGGCGUAAAGGGCGCGCAGGCGGUCAUGCAAGCUUGGUGUGAAAGACCACGGCUUAACGGUGGAAACGCGCUGAGAACUGCAUGACUUGAGUUUCGGAGGGGGAACUGGAAUUCCAGGUGUAGGGGUGAAAUCUGUAGAUAUCUGGAAGAACAUCAGUGGCGAAGGCGAGUUCCUGGCCGACAACUGACGCUGAGGCGCGAAAGCGUGGGGAGCGAACAGGAUUAGAUACCCUGGUAGUCCACGCCGUANACGAUGUGCACUAGGUGUUGGGCUUUCGAAGGCUCAGUGCCGCAAGUUAACACGUUAAGUGCACCGCCUGGGGAGUAUGCCCGCAAGGGUGAAACUCAAAGGAAUUGACGGGGGCCCGCACAAGCGGUGGAGCAUGUGGUUUAAUUCGAUGAUACGC
rnacentral:rRNA from 1 species